GCGUUCAUAGCUCAGUUGGUUAGAGCACCACUUUGACAUGGUGGGGGUCGUUGGUUCGAGUCCAAUUGAACGCACCA
rnacentral:tRNA from 1 species